rnacentral:rRNA from 1 species
UACGGAGGGGGUUAGCGUUGUUCGUAAUGACUGGGCGUAAAGCGCGCGUAGGCGGAUCAGGAAGUUGGGGGUGAAAUCCCGGGGCUCAACCCCGGAAUGGCCUUCAAAACUCCUGGUCUUGAGUUCGAGAGAGGUGAGUGGAAUUCCGAGUGUAGAGGUGAAAUUCGUAGAUAUUCGCAAGAACACCAGUGGCGAAGGCGGCUCACUGGCCCGAUACUGACGCUGAGGUGCGAAAGCGUGGGGAGCAAACAGG